rnacentral:rRNA from 1 species
GAUGAACGCUGGCGGCGUGCCUAAUACAUGCAAGUCGAGCGAACAGACGAGGAGCUUGCUCCUCUGACGUUAGCGGCGGACGGGUGAGUAACACGUGGAUAACCUACCUAUAGGACUGGGAUAACUUCGGGAAACCGGAGCUAAUACCGGAUAAUAUAUUGAACCGCAUGGUUCAAUAGUGAAAGACGGUUUUGCUGCCACUUAUAGAUGGAUCCGCGCCGCAUUAGCUAGUUGGUAAGGUAACGGCUUACCAAGGCAACGAUGCGUAGCCGACCUGAGAGGGUGAUCGGCCACACUGGAACUGAGACACGGUCCAGACUCCUACGGGAGGCAGCAGUAGGGAAUCUUCCGCAAUGGGCGAAAGCCUGACGGAGCAACGCCGCGUGAGUGAUGAAGGUCUUCGGAUCGUAAAACUCUGUUAUUAGGGAAGAACAAAUGUGUAAGUAACUAUGCACGUCUUGACGGUACCUAAUCAGAAAGCCACGGCUAACUACGUG